UACGGAGGGUGCGAGCGUUAAUCGGAAUUACUGGGCGUAAAGGGCGCGUAGGCGGCUGAUCAAGUCAGGUGUGAAAGCCCAUGGCUCAACCAUGGACGUGCAUUUGAAACUGGCAGACUUGAGUAUUGGAGGGGGUGGUGGAAUUCCCGGUGUAGAGGUGAAAUUCGUAGAUAUCGGGAGGAAUACCGGUGGCGAAGGCGACCACCUGGCCAAAUACUGACGCUGAGGUGCGAAAGCGCGGGGAGCAAACAGGAUUAGAUACCC
rnacentral:rRNA from 1 species